rnacentral:lncRNA from 1 species
UGUGGUUCAGCAUAUUCAUCUGACUGCAGGUGUUGCAGGAUAAUCCUCAAUUAAGACAGACAGACAGAGAGAGACAGUCUGUGCUCAUCUUCAGUCCUAAAUACGCUCGGCUAGACAGUGAGUGCGCAUGCGCAGGAAGACCCCGCGCGCACAAACGCAGAAGUGAAGACGCUGUGCGGCGGCCAUUACCAUCCAUCAGCGCGCCUCAAUCUGAAGCAGCAAUGGCGGAGUAUAGAUCAGUCCACAACCACUCAGGUGUGUGUCCUCCUCUGGCGUCUCCUGCGCUCGGCACACUGCAGCGGGUGUCUGGAGCCGGGCUUAGCUUGGGUUCUGUUUUCAUUCUGCACUGUCCGGUCAGACACCAAGCGGUGAGCGGAGGGCAGAUCACCUGUGAGUGGAGCCAAGAGGACAACAGUGCACAGUGGAGCGGAGGAACACCACACUGCAGACCUCUGUCCCAUUUCGAAGACAAGGGCUUCCGUUUAGCUCUGCUUCUGUCCUUCAUCAGCUGCGCCAUCAUCCUCUUCAUGAGUGUCAUCUUCAUCACUUCCUGUCUACGGGGAUGUGUCANACGAGAAGAGAAGAGGAGGAUCGACAGGUGACACACACUCACAUACACACACACACACAUUUUAUAUAUUGUAAAAAGGGGCAUAACGGUCACUUUGGUGAUAAUAUCGUAUAUUGUGAUCAAAAUUUCAGUAAUUAGUCACAAUAUGAGAAUGUGAUACCAUCAGCAGCUCAAUCAAACGCUGUGUGAUAAUGAUGACUGUAAUCUGUGUCUUACAGAGCGAGAAACACUGAGUUAU